rnacentral:rRNA from 1 species
UACGGGGGGAGCAAGCGUUGUUCGGAUUUACUGGGCGUAAAGGGCGCGUAGGCGGCCAGCACAGUUCAGUUGUGAAAUCUCCGAGCUUAACUCGGAAAGGUCAACUGAUACUGUGCGGCUAGAGUGCGGAAGGGGCAACUGGAAUUCUUGGUGUAGCGGUGAAAUGCGCAGAUAUCAGGAAGAACACCCGUGGCGAAAGCGGCUCUCUGGAACGGUACUGACGCUGAGACGCGAAAGCGUGGGGAGCGAACAGG